GACGAUACAUAGGGGGACUGAGAGGUUAACCCCCCACACUGGUACUGAGACACGGACCAGACUCCUACGGGAGGCAGCAGUGAGGAAUAUUGGUCAAUGGACGCAAGUCUGAACCAGCCAUGCCGCGUGCAGGAUGACGGCUCUAUGAGUUGUAAACUGCUUUUGUACGAGGGUAAACGCAGAUACGUGUAUCUGUCUGAAAGUAUCGUACGAAUAAGGAUCGGCUAACUCCGUGCCAGCAGCCGCGGUAAUACGGAGGAUUCAAGCGUUAUCCGGAUUUAUUGGGUUUAAAGGGUGCGUAGGCGGUUUGAUAAGUUAGAGGUGAAAUUUCGGGGCUCAACCCUGAACGUGCCUCUAAUACUGUUGAGCUAGAGAGUAGUUGCGGUAGGCGGAAUGUAUGGUGUAGCGGUGAAAUGCUUAGAGAUCAUACAGAACACCGAUUGCGAAGGCAGCUUACCAAACUACAUCUGACGUUGAGGCACGAAAGCGUGGGGAGCAAACAGGAUUAGAUACCCUGGUAGUCCACGCAGUAAACGAUGAUAACUCGUUGUCGGCGAUACACAGUCGGUGACUAAGCGAAAGCGAUAAGUUAUCCACCUGGGGAGUACGUUCGCAAGAAUGCAACUCAAAUGAAUUGACGG
rnacentral:rRNA from 1 species